UAUUCGGUUACGUAUCGAUUGUGAAUGACAUCAUGUUAAAUUGAACAUUAACAGCCUUUCCCACAUUGGUGUGCAUCAACAAAGAAUCUUGUUAUCGAUAACAUUAAACCAAGCUGUCCGCAAUCCACACGGAUUUAGUAAAUCUGGACUCAACCGAUUUUUAUAAGGUUUCACUCGCAUUACCUCUAGAUGGCAUUGAAAUCUGGCAAUGCGAAACGUACUUACCUUAAUGGGAAAAAUUGGCGUUUUGUCUUGCAAACUUUGGGGCAUGUGUCGCUGUCGACUUUUGAAGUGACGACUCGUUUUGGCUGGCAGCAAAUUGUCUUGGGGCUCAGUUGGAUGGGCUUUCGCUGGAUUUGGCUGAUCGCUGCUGCCUGGCAGGUACAUAACAUGCUUUCCACCAGUUAGAAAUUUAAUCGAUUGCGGCUCCAUGGUAACCAGCCUUUGCCUUUUACCAUGUUCCAGACUUUUCGUAUACAGCUCCGUGCUACUCGUAUUUUUAUGAAGCAUCCAAUUAUUGGAGCAUUCGAAAUUGGUAACACAUAUAUUUUCCAGCUGGGCAUGCGAACUUGAGUUUCUUUGGUUAUAAGAGCACGGAUCGGUGCCCUUUAAAUAAUUUUCGGGCUUCGACUUCUGCAGGCUCUUGUAGAUACAAACCUUUGAAUAAGAAAAUAUAUAUAUAUAUAUAUUCAAGAAAUAUCUCUAUACAUAAAUUAAUCAAGUCAACGCGAAACUGAAAACUCGUAUUCAAAGAUCUUUGUGCAAAUUCAUUUGAGAGAUGCUUAAAAUUUAAAAAAAAAUCUAUUCCUCCUUGGCGGAACUCAGAAAUUUCCAGAAUCCAAUGGAAAAUGUUGUUUUCAAAUUGUGGUAUAGUAUUUUCCUCGAAUGUCCGACUAAGCGAUACCCUGAAGCCAACUUUGAAAAGUUGUUAACACAUUCGUAUUAUAUGUAUCAAAACACAUAUUAUCUAAAAUUGAUACUUUCCUAUCCCGACAUUAUCGCAAAUUAUAGCAUUCAUAAAUUUGGCUGAAA